rnacentral:rRNA from 2 species
CGCUUAGGCGUGUGACUGCGUACCUUUUGUAUAAUGGGUCAGCGACUUAUAUUCUGUAGCAAGGUUAACCGAAUAGGGGAGCCGAAGGGAAACCGAGUCUUAACUGGGCGUUAAGUUGCAGGGUAUAGACCCGAAACCCGGUGAUCUAGCCAUGGGCAGGUUGAAGGUUGGGUAACACUAACUGGAGGACCGAACCGACUAAUGUUGAAAAAUUAGCGGAUGACUUGUGGCUGGGGGUGAAAGGCCAAUCAAACCGGGAGAUAGCUGGUUCUCCCCGAAAGCUAUUUAGGUAGCGCCUCGUGAAUUCAUCUCCGGGGGUAGAGCACUGUUUCGGCAAGGGGGUCAUCCCGACUUACCAACCCGAUGCAAACUGCGAAUACCGGAGAAUGUUAUCACGGGAGACACACGGCGGGUGCUAACGUCCGUCGUGAAGAGGGAAACAACCCAGACCGCCAGCUAAGGUCCCAAAGUCAUGGUUAAGUGGGAAACGAUGUGGGAAGGCCCAGACAGCCAGGAUGUUGGCUUAGAAGCAGCCAUCAUUUAAAGAAAGCGUAAUAGCUCACUGGUCGAGUCGGCCUGCGCGGAAGAUGUAACGGGGCUAAACCAUG